rnacentral:hammerhead_ribozyme from 1 species
GCAUUGCUGAAGAGUCCCAGAAUAGGACGAAACAUCUAUCCAGUAC